UUCAGAUUUCGUUUUGGUGGGUAGGGUUUAUAUUUCCAGAAAUUGUUUUAUUAUAUUACUAAAUUAAUAAGUUAACCUUUUGUUCCUCAUAUUGGAUUAUGUAAAUUUAUUGAAAAUAACUCCGUGGAUAUAUUAAAAUGCCAACAAGCUCUCAAAUGGCUCAUGUGACACUGAUGCUACCUUAAGGAAGUGUCUUGCUCACCUGGUCAAACACCCAUUCCUCACUGCAUUUUGCCAAUUCAAUCCAUUUUAGAUGUAACCUCGGGUAUGGUGAAAGACCCACCGGACGUCUUGGACAGGCAAAAAUGCCUUGACGCUCUGGCUGCUCUACGCCACGCUAAGUGGUUCCAGGUUCGGAACAUCAUUUUACUUUUUUCUUGUAGCCUUAUGAGAGAGUAGUUCAGUACAACAUGUUUAACUGUGCUUAAACAUUUCAAAAGACUGCCCAAGCAAUACUAUUUUAAAUUAAAUAUCAGAAAAUAUGUUAACAUAGAAAGCUGGGUAUGAUGAUCUGCAUAUUGCAGUUAUUAAUUUGACAAUGAACUUAGGUUUGGGGAGUGUUUUGUAGUUGGGGUUUUUUUAUUUUUUAUUUUUAGUGGCUAUAUUUAAAGUUGACUUGUUUAGGAACAUCACAUGUUUGUGUAUAUAUAUUAUAUUCCAUAAGGCUGCAGAUUAACUUUGCUUUAAAUAAUGGAAUAUGUGUUUAAAGCUUUGUGUAUAGUUUUAAGAUUUUUUUCCCCCUCUUUCUCUAAGUUAAUAAGUGUAGGGAGUGAAAGGUGAGGAAGCAGCUGUUUGGUUUAGUGACUUUGCAGUCAUGCAAAGGCACAGAAGGGAAACCAAACAGAUUUCCUUAACCUUUCAGUCCCUAGACAAACUUUUUAGCUCUUUACUUUUUCUUUUAUUUCUAAUAUAGGCAGACUUUUUUUUUUAAGUUUACUGUUUUAAAUGAACACAGGUCAAGGUUCACAGGGGAUCAAGAAAUAUUAUUCUUGUAUAAUCUGUUUACUUUGACCUAAAUACCAGCUUUUAAAUACUAACCCUGGCAUAAAAUACUGCUGUAAAUGGCAGCUCAUUGAAUCCAAUUUUAAGUGUGAUUGUUUUUGUUUUUAUCUGAGCUUCCAUUGAACGGUGGUAUUUUAACUUUUUUUCAUCAAGGGAUAUAUUCAGUAUUUCUAAGAUUAAUUCAAUUGGUUUUUGUGUUGCUCUCAAGGCUAGAGCUAAUGGUCUGCAGUCCUGUGUGAUUAUCAUACGCAUUCUUCGAGACCUCUGUCAGCGAGUUCCAACUUGGUCUGAUUUUCCAAGCUGGGCUAUGGAGUUACUAGUAGAGAAAGCAAUCAGCAGUGCUUCUAGCCCUCAGAGCCCUGGGGAUGCACUGAGAAGAGUUUUUGAAUGCAUUUCUUCAGGGAUUAUUCUUAAAGGUAGUCCUGGACUUCUGGAUCCUUGUGAAAAGGAUCCCUUUGAUACCUUGGCAACAAUGACUGACCAGCAGCGUGAAGACAUCACAUCCAGUGCACAGUUUGCAUUGAGACUCCUUGCAUUCCGCCAGAUACACAAAGUUCUAGGCAUGGAUCCAUUACCGCAAAUGAGCCAACGUUUUAACAUCCACAACAACAGGAAACGAAGAAGAGACAGUGAUGGAGUUGAUGGAUUUGAAGCUGAGGGGAAAAAAGACAAAAAAGAUUAUGAUAACUUUUAAAAAGUGUCUGUAAAUCUUCAGUGUUAAAAAAACAGAUGCCCAUUUCUUGGCUGUUUUUCAUUCAUAAUAAUGUCUACAUUGAAAAAUGUAUCAAGAAUUUAAAGGAUUUCAUGGAAGAACCAAGUUUUUCUAUGACAUUAAAAAAUGUACAAUGUUAGGUAUUAUUUGAAUGGAAAGACACCCAAAAAAAAAAAAAAUGUGCUCCGACUAGGGGGAAAACAGUAGUUCCGAUUUUUUCCCAUUAUUUUUAUUUUAUUUUCUGGUUGCCCUAGCUUCCCCCCCUCUUUUUGUGUCUUUUAUUAACUAGUGCAUUGUCUUAUUAAAUCUUCACUGUAUUUAAUGCAGGAUUUGUGCUUCAGUUGCUCUGUGUAUUUUGAUAUUUUAAUUUAGAGGUUUUGUUUGCUUUUUGACACUAGUUGUAAGUUACUUUGUUAUAGAUGAUAUCCUUUACCCCUUCUUAAUAUUUUACAGCAGUACGUUUUUUUGUAACGUGAGACUGCAGAGUUUGUUUUUCUAUAUGUGAAGGAUUACAACACAAAAAGUUAUCCUGCCAUUCGAGUGCUCAGAACUGAAUGUUUCUGCAGAUCUUGUGGCAUUUGUCUCUAGUGUGAUAUAUAAAGGUGUAAUUAAGACAGAGUUCUGUUAAUCUAAUCAAGUUUGCUGUUAGUUGUGCAUUAGCAGUAUAAAAGCUAAUAUAUACUAUAUGGUCUUGCAACAGUUUUAAAGCCUCUGCAUAAAUGAUAAUAAAAAUGCAUGACAUUCUUGUUUUUAAUAGACUUUUAAAAUCAUAAUUUUAGGUUUAACACGUAGAUCUUUGUACAGUUGACUUUUUGACAUAGCAAGGCCAAAAAUAACUUUCUGAAUAUUUUUUUCUUGUGUAUAAGUGGAAAGGGCAUUUUUCACAUAUAAGUGGGCUAACCAAUAUUUUCAAAAGAACUUCAUCAUUGUGCAACUAACAACAGUAACUAGCCCUUAAUUAUGGUGACAGUUCCUUAUUGGUGUGUGUGAGAUUACUCUAGCAACUAUUACAGUAUAACACAGAUGAUCUUCUCCACACACCCCAUCACCCAGAUAAUUUACAGUUCUGUUAACAGUGAGGUUGAUAAAGUAUUACUGAUAAAAAAUUAUCUAAGGAAAAAAACAGAAAAUUAUUUGGUGUGGCCAUCUUACAUGCUUAUGUCUCCUACACAAAGCUAAAUAUUCUAGCAGUGAUGUAAUGAAAAAUUACAUCUUACUGUUGAUAUAUGUAUGCUCUGGUACACAGAUGUCAUUUUGUUGUCACAGCACUACAGUGAAAUACACAAAAAAUGAAAUUCAUAUAAUGACUUAAAUGUAUUAUAUGUUAGAAUUGACAACAUAAACUACUUUUGCUUUGAAAUGAUGUAUGCUUCAGUAAAAUCAUAUUCAAAUUU
rnacentral:sRNA from 1 species